GAAGGAGCAGUAGCAUGCCGAGAGAUUAUCCAGCACUGCACUAAAGACAGUAAAGGCUUCCCACCUGACCUCCUACACGACCUGUUUGAAGGUGUCGUUCCAGUGGAGUUGGCACAUUGUUUAAAAGUGUCUGACUAAAGAAACAGAACUGAGACAUCAGCUGAUUCCACCAAUUUGUGAACCAAUGUAAAGGUAAUUCA